AUUGAACGCUGGCGGCAUGCUUUACACAUGCAAGUCGAACGGCAGCGCGGGCUUCGGCCUGGCGGCGAGUGGCGAACGGGUGAGUAAUACAUCGGAACGUGCCCAGUAGUGGGGGAUAGCCCGGCGAAAGCCGGAUUAAUACCGCAUCCGACCUGAGGGUGAAAGCGGGGGAUCUUCGGACCUCGCGCUAUUGGAGCGUCCGAUGGCAGAUUAGCUAGUUGGUGGGGUAAAGGCCUACCAAGGCGACGAUCUGUAGCUGGUCUGAGAGGACGACCAGCCACACUGGAACUGAGAAACGGCCCAGACUCCUACGGGAGACAGCAGUGGGGAAGUUUGGACAAUGGGCGAAAGCCUGAUCCAGCAAUGCCGCGUGUGUGAUGAAGGCCUUCGGGUUGUAAAGCACUUUUGGCGGGAACGAAAAGGACUGUGCCAAUACCACGGUUCGAUGACGGUACCCGCAGAAUAAGCACCGGCUAACUACGUG
rnacentral:rRNA from 1 species